GACGAACGCUGGCGGCGUGCUUAACACAUGCAAGUCGAACGAUGAACCCGGAGCUUGCUCCGGUGGAUUAGUGGCGAACGGGUGAGUAACACGUGAGUAACCUGCCCUUGACUCUGGGAUAACUGCGGGAAACUGUAGCUAAUACCGGAUACGACCCUCGGCGGCAUCGCCAGGGGGUGGAAAGAAUGUCGGACAAGGAUGGACGCGCGGCCUACGAGCUAGAUGGUGAGGAAACGGAGCACCAAGGCGACGACGGGUAGCCGGCCUGGGAGGGUGACCCGCCACACAGGGACUGAGGCGGGACCCAGACUCCUACGGGAGGCAGCGAUGAGAAAUAUUGCACGAUAGGCGCAGGCCGGGUGCAGCAACGCCGCGUGGGAGAUGACGGCCUUCGGGUUGUAAACCUCUUUUAGUAGGGAAGAAGCGAAAGUGACGGUACCUGCAGAAAAAGCACCGGCUAACUACGUGCCAGCCGCCGCGGUAA
rnacentral:rRNA from 1 species